CACAGAAAUCUUGCGUAUGGGAUAAGAGUGUGGGUUCAAACUUUUAUGCGCGUGUUUAUCAGUACUGUGUGUUUAUUAAAGUGUGAAAGUGUACGUAACUGCAGUAACCUCAAGAUUCCGGAGAGUGGCCAGGGAAGCAGUACCGUAUGCCCGUUGGUCAUUAGUGGGUGGAUCACGUCAACCAGACAAAGGCGUUUCGCUGCCUGCCCGCCAGACCCACCACCACCACCAGGACCACCUUGCGCCUUGUCAGAUGUCACGCCCUAAAGUGGCGUGUGUAUUGGUGAAGCGGUGGUGGUUAAGAUCGGCACGCCGUGAAGGUCUAGUGUGGAAGCAUCAAGGCACCUUCCACAAACACUGCUGUCUUAUCCUCAGCUUCCCUUCACCUGUGCAGCGCGUCUCCACCAGGAAACUUUGGAGGAGACACAGAAGCCCCGCCACUCGCUGCCAUCGCCGCCGCCGCCGCCGCCGCCACUGCUGUCG